UUGGGCUUGGGAACUCGCGGAAAAUGCCCUAAACGUUCAAUCAUAACAUUGAUACUACAAUUUUAAAUGAAAAUCAAACAAGAAGCUGAAACAUACUCAAACUGUUUCAGCAUUACACAAUCUGUGAAAGAGAUCAGAAUAAUAGAACCAUACGAAAAUAUACAAAAACUGUUUCAAUGUUAAUUCCAAACAGAACCAAUGCACAAAACAAUC
rnacentral:lncRNA from 1 species